AAGUCUAUCCCUUUAAUUGCACUUUCAUGUUUCAGCACUAGAGGGCACAUGUCGUUCACUCUACUGAUAACGUCCCCUUUAAGAUCAUGCACUUUAUACACCGCACGCGCUGGGUCACGAUGAGCAUGUAAACUUCAAAGCUGUGUGCGUUCGUGCAGAAAAGUGAGUUUAUUUCUUAUUUCCUGUAGAAAUGUGCACGAUAAUAAUGUUGUUUAUAUUAUUAUAAUAGUAUAUUCAUCUUGCAAGUUGUAUGUGCACAAGUUAAUGUUAUUCGAUACUCUGUCAGAAAUGUUAUUCGAUGUCGGAAAGCUAACGUGCUAGUUCCUCAGACAGUGUUAUAAUGUGUUGUCAUAUUAACAUUUAAAAUGUUAAUCUGUUGCCAUUUUACAGUUAUUUGACAUGCUACACUAUUAUAAUUGUGGAAUUGCUUGUAAAUUGUUGAUUGUUGAUCUUCUGUUCAGUAUGAAAAUAUCUGUAGCAGUUUAACAAUGACUGUAAUAUAAUUUUGUCUAAUUUGUACUAUUAUCCUUUGUUUCAGACCACACACACACACCCAUAUACAAACAGCCAUGUACAUGUUAUUUAUGUGCCCAGCAUAUUAAAGUUUUGGAUAUAACUCUCCGAGCCCUUACUCUCUAACCGGAGUCACCAGUCUUUAAGGCCUAUCUGAACAAUCCAGAGUUCCAUCUCUACAAAUGGUCCUUCGAGCCGGAUGAUAGCAACCUUGAAGACAACAUGCAGUCCGAGCAGGAGGUCACAAAACCGAUUGUGCGUCCUCGUACUCAGCGGGAGAGACAUCCACCAGCCUACUUAGAUGAUUAUGAUGUUGGGUAUCAACCAAGCCAAAUUCCAGAUUGUAGUGCGGAUGCCAGUAGGAUAAUGCCAGCGGUUACCAUUCCAACUGCACAGUCAGAGCAUGUGACUGCGUCUAGUAGGCCAUCUUCAGCACGUUCAUUUCCUUGUUCACGUCACAGCCAAUCAAGAACAAAGACUAGCAGAAGCUCUGGAUCCAGCCGAAACACAGCUUCACAACUGACUGAUCUACAGACAGCUAUUGUAGAGGAGAAAUUGAAGAGCAUGGAGCUUGCAGAGAUGCAGAGACAGAUGGUGGAGGAGAGCAAAGCUGAAGAGCAGUGUGAGUUCCUGGAUCAACAAGCACGGUAUGCGCUAUAUGAGAGAGAAGAAUUACUCAGAGAACAGCAAAGAAGAAGUCGGCAGUUGGAUGAAGAGGCUCGUGCAGCGCACAAGACCAAGGAACUGAUCACCAAGCAGCUGGAAAGACAACGCCGCAUUAAGCAGAAGGAGAUGGAGCUGGAGAAAGCACGUCUCAUUGCAUCACUUCUUCGAGAAUCAGAGACUGAAAAUGCAACAGCUGUUCCACAAACCAGAAGUGAGCUUGAUCCAGGGCAGGUACAGACUGAUAUACUCUGUUCACAGAAGGUAGAUGUUGUUCCUCACACACCAAAUCAGUUAUCUGAUAAUCCACAGCACUCAACACAUUACAUACAUCAGAGUAAUUCUGUUAACCCUCCGCUCUUAACUUCAUACUCUGUCACUGAGCACAUUACACCUAUCUCUAUUCCCAAGCCAUUAGAUGUAGACUAUUCUCAUGCUGUAGCAUCACCGGUGCCACCCCAACAGGUAAAAUUCUCUAAUCCAGAGGUUUACCCUCCUACAACAGUGCAACACUCCUUGUCUUUUGAUAGACAAACCCAUAGUGUUAGACAGUCAAUCGCCAACCCAACCUUUCUGCCUAGACCAUACAUGUCACAGGAUUCCACAGGGACCAGCUAUGCCCAGCCACUUACUUUUGUAGGCCCAGUCCAGCCUCGACCUCAUCCUCCAACAGGUCAGUUGCAUCAACCUGUUAGGCAAGUGAAGUUUAACUCACAGCCAUUUUCAGUGCCUAGUAUCCCGUGUGUAGAGUCACAAGCCCCAGUCAAUAUGAUGGACAUGUUGAUUGCCAGCUCAUAUGGUAUACCCAAACCAGCCCUGCCUAAAUUUGAUAGUGGUAAAGAGUCUGACUUUGCCUUACUCAAAAUGGCUCUGGACAGUCUCUUAGGUGGUCAUGCUCAUCUCACAGAGCAAUUUAAAUACCAAGUGCUUCUAGACAGAUUAAAACUGCCAAGUGCCUACAAAUUAGCACAAGCUUACAUGCAUGACCCUACUCCAUAUACGACGGCAUUGCAAGCCCUCCAAGACAAAUACGGGCAAGCCCGCCAACUUGUACAGAGUGAACUUGGUGCUAUGUUGAACUCUCCACCUGUCAGAGUAGGGGAUGCUGAAGCAUUUGAUAACUUUGCGCUGUCGGUACAUUCUCUUGUGGGCAUGCUGCGUUCAUUAGAGGGUGAGAAUGGCUACGAACUGAAAUGUGGCUCACAUGUAGACAGAAUUUUAGCCAAACUGCCUGCUAGCUAUCGUGAUGGAUUUGUAGAGCAUUGUUUAAAUCGUGGUAUACUAAUCACCGGGACAGACAAAACAUACACACUGCUGGACCUAUCAGCGUGGCUUCAGAUAAAAUCACAGGCAAAGCGUAUCUCCAGCAGAGCUGUGGACAUGUUUCAAGAGCAGAUGAAGCCUCAAAAGAAAGGGAUGAGAAGCCAGAACCACCCAUCAUCUUCUGUGUACUACAAUACCAGUAGUAGUCCAGAUAAAUUACCACUUACUUCUCCGAUACAACGUACAUUCCCGCUAAAGCCAAAAGACAAGCCUAAGCCCUAUUGUCCAUAUUGUGACACACGUGAGCACUAUCUCAGCCUGUGUACAAAUUUCAAGUCACUAACAACUACCCAAAUUGCAGAGUGGCUCAAAGACAAAGGCUGUUGGCGCUGUGGACGUAAUCACAAACCUGAGGCUUGCACCCUCAAGAAGCCCUGUAAAAUAUGUCAAAAGCAGCAUCUCACUGUGCUACAUGAUGUAACCAUACAGGAGCCCAACCAGGUCCUCAUGGUCAGUACUCCUCCAGACACCAUUUAUCUUGACCGUCCCAACCGACCUCAACAGGUCAUGUUAAAGGUAGUCAAAGUACUUCUGCAUAAUGCUGAACACUCCCUAGAGGCAUAUGCUUUGUUGGAUGAUGGUUCUGAGCGAACUAUUCUCCUUUCUUCUGCUGCACUAUGUCUCAAACUACAGAAGGAACCAGAAACCCUCUCACUGAGAACUGUACAGCAUGAGGUAGUUCAUCUGAAAGGGGCAUCCGUUUCUUUUGAAAUUUCCCCAGCUGACAACUCUAAGCUGAGAUUCAAUAUCCAUCAUGCAUUCACUGCUGAUGAACUGGGUCUUUCCGAGCAUAGCUACCCAGUUAAAGUACUGAUGAAGAAGUACAGGCACCUACAGGGGCUACCGAUCCCAGCAAUUGACAAAGUGAAGCCUGUACUGUUGAUUGGUUCCGACUUUCCACAUUUGCUCAUCCCUACCCAGCCUGUUCGAGUUGGUCCUUCUGGGGGACCAGUAGCAAUAUGUACUUCCCUUGGUUGGACACUUCAAGGUCCUGCCAGCUCGGUCAAUCUUCCCUUUGAAGAGCAGCACUGCUUCUUUACUUCAGUGAUGUCAAAUCACUCUGAUCUCCAAAUGCAUGUGGAGAAACUGUGGCAAGUUGAUACUUUGCCCUAUAUCAGUGAGAAAGCAGCCACUAGAUCCAAGCUUGACCAGCAAGCACUUGAGAUGCUUGAGCAGCGCACAGUAAGGAUGAAUGUAGAUGGCAUAAUGAGAUAUGCUACACCACUUCUCAGACGGAAGGAUAGUCCGUGUCUAAAAGCGCCCAAAUCUGCUUGUCUUUCACUACUUCGAAGUACAGAGCGGCGGAUCGCCAACGAUAUCAAUCAAACCAAGACUUAUUGUCAAGAGGUCCAAAAGCUUGAAAUUGCCGGCUAUGUGAAGAGAUUGGCACCUGAGGUUGUAGAUUCCUCUUCUGAGUCAUGGUACCUCCCUCAUCAUUUAGUCCAUCACAACAACAAAGCAAGGCUUGUUUUCAAUUGCUCAUAUCAAUACAGGGGCCAAGCGCUAAAUGAUCACCUUCUCCCGGGUCCCAUCUUGGGUCCGUCCUUGCUUGGUGUCCUCCUUCGGUUCCGUGAGCAUGCGGUGGCUAUCAGUGGAGACAUUAAAGCAAUGUUCCACCAGAUCCGACUUCUCCCGGAAGACCGCUCAUUGUUACGCUUCAUCUGGAGAGACAUGAAGAGGGACGAAGAACCAAGUGUCUUUGAAUGGCAGGUUCUUCCAUUUGGGACCACCUGCAGUCCUUGUUGUGCCACAUAUGCGCUUCAAAGGCAUGUAAAGGACAACCAUGAAGGCUACGAAGAUGUUCAAAGGUCUAUAGAGCAAGCAUUCUAUGUUGACAAUUGUUUGCAGAGUCUUGACUCCCCAGAGAAGGCCCGUAACCUAAUUGACAGGAUGCGCAGUCUUUUGUCUUCUGGUGGCUUUGAAAUCCGCCAGUGGGCCAGCAAUGUCCCUGCUGUAAUAGAACACCUCCCUGUUGAAGCCAGAGCAGCCAGUACAGAACUGUGGCUUUCUGAGUAUAGUUCUGACCCACAAGAGCCAGCUUUAGGUUUGCGCUGGAAUUGUCUCACUGACCAACUUGGAUAUAAACAUCGCCAAGUUGACUACUCCGAGCCUACACUACGAAAUGUCUACAAAGUACUGGCCACACAAUACGACCCACUUGGAUAUCUCAUACCCUUCACCACUAAAGCAAAAACGCUAAUUCAAGAUCUCUGGAAACUCAAGAUUGGUUGGGAUGACAUCAUCCACCCUGAAAACCUGUUGGUACAAUGGCAAGCCUGGGAGGCUGAAUUGGCCAAUUUGCCCACUGUGGAAAUACCCAGAGCGUAUAUCCCAUCAUAUGCUGACACAGAAGACACCCAGAGAACCAUCCAUAUCUUUUGUGAUGCCUCCGAACGGGCAUACGGGUCGGUUGCUUACCUCAACACUCAAGAUCAACAGAAACGAACCCAUGUUGCUUUUGUGAUGGCAAGGUCCAGAGUGGCUCCUCGCAAGCAGACCUCGAUUCCCCGCUUAGAGCUUUGUGCAGCUCUUUCAGGAGCACAGCUGGCGAAGUUGCUCAGUGAAGAGCUUUCUGUUCCUUUGGAUGAUAUAAUUCUGUGGACCGAUUCAACAACAGUCCUAAAUUGGAUAAGAGCAGACUCUUGCCGCUACAAAGUUUUUGUCGGGACACGCAUCGCCGAAAUUCAGGACAUGACUUUGAUGUCAAAUUGGAGAUAUGUCAAUACUGCGGAUAACCCUGCGGAUGACCUAACUAGGGGCAAGACUUUGAUUGAGUUGAGCAAACCUCAGCGCUGGAGGCAAGGACCAAAGUUCCUUCACCAACAUCCCAACACCUGGCCAUCUCUGCCUAAAUUAACAACUCCUGAUGACAGUGAUGAGCUAAAGAAGCAAUCAUUCUGUGGUAAUUCAUGUCUUGCCAAGCCUCAAGUUGACAUCUCUAGUAGUAGUAGUUGGAAUGAACUGUUGAAAGCAACUCACCAGUCCCUUCAUGGGGCGGCUGCUAUCAUGACUGCAGCAGAUGCCAUAUCAGCUGAACUAUACCUAUUAAGACAAGCUCAGAGUGACAGCUUCCCAGGAGAAAUGGAUGCACUGAUCAAAGGUAAAGCCAUAUCCGUCCAGAGUCGUCUUGCUUCACUUUCCCCUGAGUAUGAUCAAACACUUGGUUUAAUCCGAGUUGGAGGACGACUCCGUCAAGCUGACAGCCUAGAUCCAGACACUAUGCAUCCGAUAAUACUGGACCCUAAACAUCAGAUUACAAUGCUCCUAAUCAAAGAAUAUGACAACCAUCUUAUGCAUCCAGGUCCAGAGAGAGUCUUGGGUGAGAUCAGACGCAAGUACUGGAUCCUACGGGGCAGAGAAUCAAUCAAGAAGCAUCAGUACAACUGUGAGAAGUGCCAAAAAUGGAGAGCAAGUCCUGUAAUUCCGAAGAUGGCAGACUUGCCCCCAUCUCGACUUCGGCUGUACAAGCCACCUUUCUGGUCCACUGGUGUAGACUGCUUCGGACCGUUCACAAUUAAACUGGGUAGACGCACUGAGAAACGUUGGGGCAUUAUAUUCAAAUGUAUGACAACCAGUUGCAUACAUCUUGAUCUCUUAGAGAGCAUGGACACGGAUGCUUUUCUAAUGGCCUUAAGAAGAUUUGUGUCACGUCGUGGUAAGCCAUUUGAGAUACUGGCAGAUAGAGGUACUAACUUCCGAGGAGGAGCUACUGAACUCCAGGAGGCCUUUGCUUCGUUAGAGGUUCCCCUUAAAGAACAUCUUGCAUGCCAGGAAAUUGCUUUCCAGUUUAACCCUCCGAAUGCGCCACACUUUGGAGGGACCUGGGAGCGAGAGAUACGAUCAGUUAAAACUGCUCUCCAGGUUGUCUUGGGCAAUCGAACAGUAACUGAAGCAGUCUUGCGUACAGUGUUAGUGGAAGUCGAGGGAAUUAUUAACUCCAAGCCACUCGGAUACGUCUCAUCAGAUGUUGCCGAUCCAGACCCAGUCACACCAAAUCUAUUGCUAAUGGGCCGUCGUGAUGCAUCACUCCCGCAAGCAAUCUACUCUUCUAGUGAUCUGUUAGGGAGACGACGAUGGCGACACAGCCAAAUUCUAGCUGAUCACUUUUGGGUUAACUUCAUUAGGAAUUAUUUACCAAGUUUGCAGCCCCGACAAAAAUGGCAGAAGGACAAUGCCAAUUUAAGUGAAGGUCAGAUCAUCAUGAUAGUUGAUCCGCAAUUGCCCCGAGCCUUGUGGCCUAUAGGCAGAGUGACUAGAACCUAUGCAGGAGCGGAUAAUCGCGUACGCACAGCAGAAGUGCAAGUGAAAGGGCGCACUUAUAUCCGACCUGUUGCCCGUUUAGUUAAGCUGCCAUCAUGGGAAGAUGAGGAAGAAAAUAGCAACAGACAUUGAGACUUUCCUAACUAAUUACAAAUUUGGAAACUAAAUUUGGGGGCGGCUAUGUAGGAAAGUCUAUCCCUUUAAUUGCACUUUCAUGUUUCAGCACUAGAGGGCACAUGUCGUUCACUCUACUGAUAACGUCCCCUUUAAGAUCAUGCACUUUAUACACCGCACGCGCUGGGUCACGAUGAGCAUGUAAACUUCAAAGCUGUGUGCGUUCGUGCAGAAAAACCACACACACACACCCAUAUACAAACAGCCAUGUACAUGUUAUUUAUGUGCCCAGCAUAUUAAAGUUUUGGAUAUAACUCUCCGAGCCCUUACUCUCUAACCGGAGUCACCAGUCUUUAAGGCCUAUCUGAACAAUCCAGAGUUCCAUCU